UUUCUGUGAUGAAAAUCUUUGUCAGUUCUGCUACUGAAUGGAAGUGGUGACAUCAAUGGCUCUGAGAAA